UCUAGGAGAUGGGGAAACUGUAUGAAAUCCAUUUGUGUGAACAGAUUUCCUUGGGCUAUACUUUGGACAGGAUGGCAUAUCCUUCAUUGGAAAAUGCUGGUGUUCCUCUAAGAAGAGGAGGACACACUGGAGAUUUCUUCCUUCGCAUGCACAGAGAUGCAGCCAUGUGAGGACACAGGGAGGAGGUGGACAUUUGCAAGCUGGGGUGGGACACCCAAAGGGACUCCACGUAUUGCCAAGACCAAAAUCACCCCAGCAGAGAACCACAGAUGGAGAGGAACUGGGGAAGGUCUAACUGGUCCUAAAGGCGCUGGCUCUGAGGCUUUCUUCUCCACAGGGUUGGGCUGUGAGGGGGGGAAACUACCCUGGGGAAGAAGAGGCGAAGACCUUAGGCUUCAGCACACACAAUCUCAGAAUCCUGAGAGUGGACAAGAAGACAUUCCCAUCUUGCCCACUUUCUGUUUCAUCAACAACGACUGCACUGAUUUUUUCAUAUUUUCUGGGGCCCACCUAGUUGGUGCUCCAAGUAGCCUAAAAGCUGGGUCAUCCUUGAUUUUAACUAGUGGGUUGGUUAAAAGUGAAAUGGGAGGGGCGCCUGGGUGGCUCAGUGUGUUGAGCCUCUGUCUUCAGCUCAGGUCAUGAUCUCAGGGACCUGGGAUCGAGCCCCGCAUCGGGCUCUCUGCUCAGAGGGGAGCCUGCUUCCCCCACCCCCCGCCCCGCCUGACUCUCUGCCUACUUGUGAUCUCUGUCUGUCAAAUAAAUAAAUAAAAUCUUAAAAAAAAAAAAAAAGAAAAGUGAAAUAAUGAAUUUGGACCUUUGCUAUUCUAGAGGGCAUUGAUUCCAAGACUUGGGAGAGAUCUAGCAAAUUAGUUCUGCAGAAUUUCUCACUGAACCCACCUCUUCUGUCGGUUCUUUUAUUGUAUCACUAGUAUUUGGAGAGAACGUGGAAUGAAGGUGAAUCUUCCCUCUGCCCUCAACACAAGGAAAGCUUUGCUGAGAAUAAAAGGGAACUAAUUGGAAGCAAAGUUUUGGUUGCUAUUGCUUAAAAACUAA